AUAAUAAUAAUAAUAAUAAUAAUAAUAAUAAUAAUAAUAAUAAUAAUAAUAAUAAUAAUAAUAAUAAUAAUAAUAAUAAUAAUAAUAAUAAGGAUGUUCCUAAUUGGAUUUAGGAUAGCCUGACAUCUUUUUCGGAUAGCCUGCCAUCUUCAUAGGAUAGCCUGCCAUCUCGUAGGAUAGCCUGCCAUCUCAUAGGAUAGCCUGCCAUCUUCAUAGGAUAGCCUGCCAUCUUCAUAGGAUAGCCUGCCAUCCUUGUCGGCCGCCGUUAACAUUUCCACUUGUGUUUAAUAAUGGUUGACAGUCUGGCGGACCAUCUCUGUAAGAGGAUGCUUGUUUAAUAAGCUAAGUAUAACCUAUAUGAUUAGCUAGCUAAUCAUAUAGGUUAUACGGAGACUAAAGUUUUUCUAAACUAAUAGCUGUAUUAGUCCUAAUUACGUGAUUAUCUAAACAUACAUAUUGAGUUGUUGUUAUGGUACUAUUAAAUAUAUAUAGCUAGCUACAUUGAAGUUAAAAAUACAAGACUUAUUGCUAUGAGUUCAUAAUAUUACCUGAUGGGAAGCACUGAAAUGAAAAAGGCAAGAAUAUGUGCAAUCUGGGGAUUAUCGAUAUUUCAGCACAUGUUUAUGUAUCCAGGUAAAUGGUGGCACCUUAGUGUAAAUUGAAGCUCUCUAAUGACAGCACAAGUAUACCGAUGUAAUUUAUAAAUUUAAAGAAAUGGAUCUAAUUUAUAGGUUCAAGAAAAACUUAAUGCUGUUUUACGAGAAAGUCAUAUCUGCAAAAGAAGAAGAGAAUAAAGAAAAAACUCUACAAUAUUUUUAUAGUUUAUUGAACUUUUAUCACUGUAACGGAAUGAUUAUGUAUCUUUAUAUCACACUCCCGAUAGAA